CUCUGAUCCAGCUCAAACUACAAUAAAACCGCCAGAAAUACCAAUUCAAUAUCCUUAAACUUUCUUGGGAAAAUUGCCAAAACGGAAGGCAAUCAUUGUCGCCAAAAUUGAUGCUGAAAANNNNNNNNNNNNNAUAUGUACAAAGAAUCACUACUUUCUUUCAAUCAAAAAUGGAAUCUCGCAGCCCACGCCAUAUAAAACGCUCGAUUAUCGACGACUAUCAAAUUAUUGACAUCGGAAAGUCCCAAAUGAGAUCGAAUGAAACAAAUUCUAGGGUUUUGCUGUAAUCUAUGAAGCUCAAAAACUAGGGUUUUUUUACGGUACAAUAGGAGCUACCUGGAUCGGAGAAGCAGAGAGACCGGAAGAGAGGGAGGAGAGACCAAGGAGUGUGAAAAUUUAGGGUUUAAUCUCCAUUCUUUAACCUGUUUCUCAGAUCGGACAGUCUGUGCAUUAGAGAGAGGGAUUGAGAGAGCUUCAGGAAAAGACUUGCAGAAAUGACG
rnacentral:misc_RNA from 1 species